GUUAGUAUAUGGUGUGUGCAGGCGUGGGCGAUCAGCUGUGUAUGUAGUAUGUUAGUAUAUGGUGUGUGCAGGCGUGGGCGAUCAGCUGUGUAUGUAGUAUGUUAGUAUAUAGUGUGUGCAGGGGUGGGAGAUGAGUGCUGUAUGUAGUAUGUUAGUAUAUAGUGUUUGCAGGGGUGGGCGAUCAGCUGUGUAUGUAGUAUGUUAGUAUAUAGUGUGUGCAGGGGUGGGAGAUGAGUGCUGUAUUUAGUAUGUUAGUAUAUAGUGUGUGCAGGCGUGGGCGAUCAGCUGUGUAUGUAGUAUGUUAGUAUAUAGUGUUUGCAGGGGUGGGCGAUCGGCUGUGUAUGUAGUAUGUUAGUUUAUAGUGUGUGCAGGGGUGGGAGAUGAGUGAUGUAUGUAGUAUGUUAGUAUAUAGUGUGUGCAGGAGUUGGAGAUGAGUGCUGUAUGUAGUAUGUUAGUAUAUAGUGUGUGCAGGGGUGGGAGAAGAAUUGCUGUAUAGAGUAUCUGUGUUAGUGUAUACAAAGUGUAUAGAGAGUGAGAUUGGCAAUAUAUCAUGUGUUGACUUGCGUAUCUAUGUUUGUAUGUAGGUUCGUAUAUUAGUAAAUCCAGCGUAAACCUGCAGUGUGAAUACGGCUGCUUUGGAUGGCUCUGCUCCUG